rnacentral:rRNA from 1 species
GACAGAGGGUGCAAACGUUGUUCGGAAUUACUGGGCGUAAAGCGAGUGUAGGCGGUCUGAAAAGUCAGGUGUGAAAGCCCUGGGCUCAACCCAGGAAGUGCACUUGAAACUGCCAGGCUAGAGUACUGGAGAGGUUGGUGGAAUUCUCGGUGUAGAGGUGAAAUUCGUAGAUAUCGUAAGGAACACCUGUGGCGAAAGCGGCUUACUGGGUCUUUUCUGACGCUGAUGCACGAAAGCCAGGGGAGCAAACGGG